rnacentral:rRNA from 1 species
AUGCCGGCGAGGUCCCACUCCCCGUUGAUGGCUUGGUGGUGGCCCGGCAGGAAGUUGCGCAUGAGGACCAGGAUGCGCAUCAGCUGGUCCUCCGCCACCGACACGGUGUUGCUGCCCGUGACCUCGGCGACGGUCAGCCCCGCGGCCGCCGCCGCCGGCAGCUCGAUGUGGUCGGAGCCGAUCCCCGCCGUGAGGAGCAGCUCCAGGUUCUUGCCGCGCCUGAUCCGGUCCGCGCUCACGUACGCCGGGUGGAACGGCGUGGUGAUGAGCACGUGCGCGUCCGCGAUGUGCUUCUCUAGCUCUGCGUACGCGCGCGCGUCCAAAAUGACAGGUUAG